rnacentral:rRNA from 1 species
ACUCCUACGGGAGGCAGCAGUGAGGAAUAUUGGUCAAUGGGUGCAAGCCUGAACCAGCCAUCCCGCGUGAAGGACGACUGCCCUAUGGGUUGUAAACUUCUUUUGUAUAGGGAUAAACCUACCCUCGUGAGGGUAGCUGAAGGUACUAUACGAUA